rnacentral:rRNA from 1 species
AACCAGCACCUCAAGUGGUCAGGAUGAUUAUUGGGCCUAAAGCAUCCGUAGCCUGUUCUGUAAGUUUUCGGUUAAAUCUAUGCGCUCAACGUAUAGGCUGCCGAAAAUACUGCAGAACUAGGGAGUGGGAGAGGUAGACGGUACUCGGUAGGGGUAAAAUCCUGUCAUCCUGAGAGGACCACCUGUUGCGAAGGCUCCACACUAGAACGGAUCCGACGGUCAGGGACGAAGCCUAGGGGCACGAACCGG